AUGCUCACUUUGGCAGCACAUAGACUAAAAUUGGAAUGAUACAGAGAAGGUUACAAUGGCCCCUGCGCAGGAAUGACACACAAAUUUGUGAAGUAUUCCAUAAAAAA